rnacentral:tRNA from 1 species
GGUCCUUUGCUCUAAAUGGUAACGGGGACGCGCUUAGAACGCGUUUAUUGUGAGUUCAAGUCUCACAAGGAUCA